rnacentral:rRNA from 1 species
GGUGGCGAGUGGCGGACGGGUGAGUAACGUAUCGGAACGUACCCAGUCGUGGGGGAUAACGCAGCGAAAGCUGUGCUAAUACCGCAUACGAUCUACGGAUGAAAGCGGGGGACCUUCGGGCCUCGCGCGAUUGGAGCGGCCGAUGUUAGAUUAGGUAGUUGGUGGGGUAAAGGCUCACCAAGCCGACGAUCUAUAGCUGGUCUGAGAGGAUGACCAGCCACACUGGAACUGAGACACGGUCCAGACUCC